rnacentral:tRNA from 2 species
GGAGAGGUGGCAGAGUGGUCGAAUGUACCUGACUCGAAAUCAGGCGUACGUUUAUAGCGUACCGUGGGUUCGAAUCCCACCCUCUCCGCCA